AUAGUGUCAUUGUUGUAUCUCCUCAUGUGACUUUUUGCAUCAGUCUGAAGGCGCUGACUCAAAGGCAAAGAUUAUGCCUCUAUGAAUGUCACUGAUGGACCUGCUGGGCCUGGUACUGCGAUGUGACUUGGUCAUUUUGGGCUAGUGCACCCGUUUAGCCCAUAUUGUGUUCCGUUAAAAUCAGAAGUUUCCUCAGGUGACCCGUCCACCUCUAGUCCUGCUCGGAUUAAUUGUUUGGAUGUGAAUAAUCUGCAUGCGUAGAUGUGAUGAAUAAGGUGAUGCUCUUCUUUCUUAACCUUUGGACUGCUGUUGCC